UACGGAGGGUGCAAGCGUUAAUCGGAAUUACUGGGCGUAAAGCGUGCGCAGGCGGUUUGUUAAGUCUGUUGUGAAAUCCCCGAGCUCAACUUGGGAAUUGCAUUGGAUACUGGCGGGCUAGAGUACGGUAGAGGGUGGCGGAAUUCCUGGUGUAGCAGUGAAAUGCGUAGAUAUCAGGAGGAACAUCCGUGGCGAAGGCGGCCACCUGGACCAGUACUGACACUGAGGCACGAAAGCGUGGGGAGCAAACAGG
rnacentral:rRNA from 1 species